UAAGACAGAGGGUGCAAACGUUGUUCGGAAUUACUGGGCGUAAAGCGCGUGUAGGCGGCUUUGCAAGUCGGGUGUGAAAUCCCACGGCUCAACCGUGGAAGUGCACUCGAAACUGCAAGGCUAGAGUCCUGGAGAGGAAGGUGGAAUGCUUGGUGUAGAGGUGAAAUUCGUAGAUAUCAAGCGGAACACCGGUGGCGAAGGCGGCCUUCUGGACAGUGACUGACGCUGAGACGCGAAAGCGUGGGGAGCAAACAGGA
rnacentral:rRNA from 1 species